GGCCCUGUGGCUUAGUUGGUUAAAGCACCUGUCUAGUAAACAGGAGAUCACCGGUUCAAAUCCGGUCAGGGCCU